GUUUUGAUAAAAUAUAUAUACACUUCCAAAGUAUGGUAAACAUUUAUUUGCCUAAGUGUUUUAUUUUAACGUUGUAAAUUUAUUAUGAUUUUUUUCCAAGAAUAUAAGUUGCUGUCAAAUUCUACUUCAAAUUAUAGUAACCAUUUAUGAGCAUUUCAUAAAGUAUUAAAAUAAUAUCUAACCACAUCAAUACUGGCCAUGUGGUAGAAAGGACAAAAGAACACUCUCCAAUGUCAUUAACUUUUGUCAUGUGUUUUCACGUGAUUAUGUCUACAGAUAUAUACAAGGAGUUACCUACCAUAUUAAGUAGGAGUUACCUACCAUAUUAAGUAAUUAAUGUAGAAAUGAGUUAACCUUGUAUCUAAGUAAGAAAAGUUCCUUUUUAUUUGAGAGUUCACCGCCUCAUCAAGGCCAUAUACAGACAACCUUCCAUGAGACACUAAAAACAUUUUCUUCAAUAUUAAGAUGGGUGUAGCGUUUUUGCUCUAGCUAUUGGCAGCCAAGAUUUCUCUCCUCUUCUUCAAGAGCUUCAAAGAAAGGUGAACCGUACUCUAUAAUGAAGAAAAUAUCGGGGAAGCUUUUACGAAGGUGACCCAAGUAUGAUCCUUAGUCUGCGACCUUCUACGAGCUCGUAUGAGCAAUAAAAGAUUUUGGAGGAAACGGGACUUGAAUUUGGAUAGGCGUAAAAGGCAAAUAAGGUGAAAGCAGUGUUCUUUGUAAUUUGCUGGUUCUCAGUGCUGUUUUUGGUUUUGGAUUCCAUGGAGUUGCUGUCCACAUCUUUCCUUUCACAAUCAAGUUCCACAUAUAACUCUAUGGACUUGGCAUUCUUCAACUCAGAAGGCAGGCUAGGUUUCAUAGCGAGGUGCCAGGGAGGAGGAGAUUUUGAGGGAUGUGCUUUUGGAAAAGGGUUUUCUAAGAGAGAGCGUUGAAGAACUUUACUUUGCGAGUCGCCAUUGCCGCCGCGCACUUAAUUCAGGUUUAUUAAGAUUUUAUUUGUAUGCGUGCAUGAGUUAUAGUCGGUAUACACUGCUUGAUUGUGCAGUAUGACUUCAAUUACGACACUGUAUAUUGAAUGUGUUAUUUUAGUAGAAAUUUUCCGUGCUUGUGAAGUGCUAACGACACGUUUGAAAACUUGGAGAUGAUCAUAUAAUCAUGUGCCAAACUUAGAGGCUAUUCAUUGUCACAAUAGUUAAAUUACUUCAAUACAGCUUUUGUUUAAGAUUCA